CCUAGACUGACAGUUGAGGGGUUCAGACAAGUGAAUGAGGUGCUGUCCUGGGUUUUGUAGCUUGCGAGGAGAGAGAGAGAGAGAGAGCGAGAGAGCGCUCUGGUCCAGUAGAGCCAGAUGAUCUGUGUGCUUUCUCAUCAGCAGAGAAUUCAUCUCUUUGGGGCUGCAGUGGAAUUGAUGGGUGGGUGGAGUUAGAAAGUUCCAUCAGUUUGCUGAUUAGAUUGUUGUCUGAAGUCUGUGUGUGUGUGUGUGUCUGUGUGUGUGUCUGUGUGUGUGUCUGUGUGUAUGUGUGUCUGUGUGUGUGUCUGUGUGUCUGUGUGUAUGUCUGUGUGUGUGUGUCUGUGUGUGUGUCUGUGUGUAUGUCUGUGUGUGUUGCACAAGUCUGAAGAGCCUUCUCUUCCAUCCUCCCUCCUCCCCGCAGUGCAGUUAUCCUGGCCUUUUCCCCUAUUAAUCUGUCAUUAAGAGGAAGGACACUAUUAAUGGAAAUGGUGCUGUCUCAUACAGAGUCCCUCACCACAGUCUGUUCCCAGCAACAACCUACAUGUUGGAAUGGACAAAGGACGUGCAUGAUGGACGGUAGAUGGCCAGCCUUAGGGUGGGAGACACUCCUGGCUACAGAGACAGCGUCACCCUGUUCCCAGGCUUCUCAUGUGCAGAGUGAAGAUGAACACAGCUCUUUAUGCGGCAAAGUUUGCUUAGGAUGCAGGGGGAGGUAGGUGUCGUGUUAGUAGUCAUCGAUUGCUGUGUAACAAAACAGCCUCAAACUCAAAAGCCUCACUCAUCACUGGUUGGGAGAUCUGGGAGUGUCUUAUCUCUCCUUCUCAC
rnacentral:lncRNA from 1 species